rnacentral:rRNA from 3 species
AGACCCGAAACCCGGUGAUCUAGCCAUGGGCAGGUUGAAGGUUGGGUAACACUAACUGGAGGACCGAACCGACUAAUGUUGAAAAAUUAGCGGAUGACCUGUGGCUGGGGGUGAAAGGCCAAUCAAACCGGGAGAUAGCUGGUUCUCCCCGAAAGCUAUUUAGGUAGCGCCUCGUGAAUUCAUCUCCGGGGGUAGAGCACUGUUUCGGCUAGGGGGCCAUCCCGGCUUACCAACCCGAUGCAAACUGCGAAUACCGGAGAAUGUUAUCACGGGAGACACACGGCGGGUGCUAACGUCCGUCGUGAAGAGGGAAACAACCCAGACCGCCAGCUAAGGUCCCAAAGUCAUGGUUAAGUGGGAAACGAUGUGGGAAGGCCCAGACAGCCAGGAUGUUGGCUUAGAAGCAGCCAUCAUUUAAAGAAAGCGUAAUAGCUCACUGGUCGAGUCGGCCUGCGCGGAAGAUGUAACGGGGCUAAACCAUGCACCGAAGCUGCGGCAGCGACACUCAGGUGUCGUUGGGUAGGGGAGCGUUCUGUAAGCCUGCGAAGGUGGCCUGUGAGGGUUGCUGGAGGUAUCAGAAGUGCGAAUGCUGACAUAAGUAACGAUAAAGCGGGUGAAAAGCCCGCUCGCCGGAAGACCAAGGGUUCCUGUCCAACGUUAAUCGGGGCAGGGUGAGUCGACCCCUAAGGCGAGGCCGAAAGGCGUAGUCGAUGGGAAACGGGUUAAUAUUCCCGUACUUGGUGUUACUGCGAAGGGGGGACGGAGAAGGCUAUGUUGGCCGGGCGACGGUUGUCCCGGUUUAAGCGUGUAGGUGUGUGUUCCAGGUAAAUCCGGUU